rnacentral:rRNA from 1 species
GACGAACGCUGGCGGCGUGCUUAACACAUGCAAGUCGAACGGAGCGAAUGAAAGCUUGCUUUUAUGAGCUUAGUGGCAAACGGGUGAGUAACACGUAGACAACCUGCCGACAGGAUGGGGACAACAUUCCGAAAGGAAUGCUAAUACCGAAUGAAGCGGAGGAGAGGCAUCUCUCUUCCGUGAAAGAUGGCCUCUUUUUAUGCUAUCACCUGUUGAUGGGUCUGCGUCUGAUUAGCUGGUUGGUGAGGUAACGGCUCACCAAGGCGACGAUCAGUAGCCGGUCUGAGAGGAUGAACGGCCACAUUGGGACUGAGACACGGCCCAGACUCCUACGGGAGGCAGCAGUGGGGAAUCUUCCGCAAUGGGCGCAAGCCUGACGGAGCAACGCCGCGUGAGUGAAGAAGGUCUUCGGAUCGUAAAGCUCUGUUGACGGGGACGAACGUGCGGAGUGCGAAUAGCGCUU